AUGAAAUCACAACCGAAGGUAAUCAAUUCAUAUUACAAAUAUAUAUUCAUGGUUUCGAAUUAACCUCUAGCCAAAAUAAAAUUAAUUACACAUUAUUAAAAAAAUUAAACCAAAAAUUAAUCAUAAGUUGGAAAGAUUUAACCGAGAGAAUAAGAUCUGCUGCGUUUCUGUGCUUCUGCCCUCACUCCCUGCGUCACUUCUCUCCUGCCAUGCCGCACUGUCCUGCCAGUCAAACUGCCAAAGGCAGCUUGUGACCCCCCUGCGACUCUUUCCAAUCCCCCAUGCUCAAGCUGCCAAAUGGCAGCUUUCCUCUUGCCUUCUUCUCCUGCCCCGCGUCACCUCCUUCGUUUCUUUUCCUCUGUCUGUCUCUCAAGCUGCCAAAGGCAGCUUGGCUGCUUCUUUCCGUCCCUCUCUCCCCCCCGUAUUUCCUCGCGCGCUGCUAUCUUUUAACCCGUUUUCUGCGCUACUUUGGGCAGCAUCUUUUUAUUAUUUUUUUUUCUUUUCCUCCUGGCAGCCUCGCUGCCCUCACUAACUUUUUGACUUUUCUUUUUCUUCUUGUUUCUGACCUAUCCAGCUGCCAAAGCAGCUCCUCUGCCCGCCUUGUCCAGCUGCAAAGCAGCUUCCUUUUCUAACGCUGGCCUUCUUCUUUUCACGCCAGCUGCAAAGGCAGCUUUGCUUUCCUUAUUAUUCUCCUCUCAAUGCUCUUUAAGACUUUCAGUGUAUAAUCUCACUGACUACCAACUCUGAAUAAAGAGAUCCUGCAUGCAAAUUUCACACAAACAUGUCGAAAAUGAGUUUUUCAUUAAAUUACUUUUCAGUUUAUGUUUUUGGCUAGAUAGGAAAGACGUUAAAUACUCUAUGUACUUAUUUCCAACUUAUUUUAAUGGAAUACAAUCUUGACGAAGUUAUUACAUAAAAUUUCACUUGUUCUAUUUUUAUUUUCUUUGCAUAACAAAUCCUAUAAACACAAAAAUAACGUAAAUAGCUUAAAAAUAUAAGGAACUAACUAAGAAAAGACGAGUGAAUUUGAAGUAAAAAUAUAUAUAAAUAUGAUCCGAUCAAAUACCCCCACACUUAGCUUUUGCUAGUCCUCGAGCAAAACAAAGAAAACAAGAACAAGUAGUAACAAGAAAAACAUUAGUUUCCCCCUAUGUGACCCUCAUAGAAUUUCAUUUGAGAACACAAAUCAUCAAGAACCAUAGCUAGCACCAAACAAGUUAAGUUCAUCUUCCUAAUUCAAAAAUUAGCAGUAAUCUUUAAAUCAUCCUUGAAGUGUAAUGUGUGAGAUAGCCAUGCUAAUGCAAUUUCAAGUUUUUAUUUUUAAAAUCAUCAUAUGCAAACUAGCGACAUUCUCACGGGA
rnacentral:lncRNA from 1 species